rnacentral:lncRNA from 1 species
CGGGGACAUCUGGAUACGUCGUAGCGAUAAGAAGUGGUUUCCGUUGGCUUGUGUUUGCAGUCAAAGUUGUUGUUUGUAGUUUGUUGUUUAAACCUAAAAAUCAGGCUGUUGCUUUUGCUCCUUUGAAUUGUUUCACUUUAUGUCAUGCAUGUGUCUAAAUAGCAAAGUAAACUUUUUGAGUUUUGCUCAGUUUUGAAGACGUGUGAACGUUUUUAGUUU